rnacentral:rRNA from 1 species
GGGUCAAGCGAAUAAGUGCAUGUGGUGGAUGCCUUGGCGAUUACAGGCGAUGAAGGACGUAGUAGCCUGCGAAAAGCUGCGGGGAGCUGGCAAACGAGCUUUGAUCCGCAGAUAUCCGAAUGGGGGAAACCCGGCCCGAAUGGGUCAUCCCUUGCUGAAUACAUAGGCAAGGGAAGCGAACGCAGUGAACUGACG